rnacentral:rRNA from 1 species
AGCAGCCGCGGUAAUUCCAGCUCCAAUAGCGUAUAUUAAAGUUGUUGCAGUUAAAAAGCUCGUAGUUGAAUUUCGGGGUCAGUAGGUCGGUUGUGCCACUGGUAUGAACUGGUUUUACUGAUUCCUCCCUCUUGAAGAACUGUAAUGCCAUUAAUUUGGUGUUGCAGGGAAUCAGGACUGUUACUUUGAAAAAUUAGAGUGUUUAAAGCAGGCUUUAGCUUGAAUACAUUAGCAUGGAAUAAUGAAAUAGGACGUUUGAUCCUAUUUUGUUGGUUUCUAGGAUUGACGUAAUGAUUAAUAGGGAUAGUUGGGGGCAUUAGUAUUCAAUUGUCAGAGGUGAAAUUCUUGGAUUUAUUGAAGACUAACUACUGCGAAAGCAUUUGCCAAGGAUGUUUUCAUUAAUCAAGAACGAAAGUUAGGGGAUCGAAGACGAUCAGAUACCGUCGUAGUCUUAACCAUAAACUAUGCCGACUAGGGAUCGGAUGAUGUUAAUUUUUAAUGUA